rnacentral:lncRNA from 1 species
UUUUUUUUUUUUUUUUUUUUACUGUUUAAUUUUAACAAUCACAGAGUUUAGGACUCAUUACAUUACUGCUGCAAAGUAGAGGCUAGCCUGCUCUUUUACUGUGUGUUUCCUUUUAUUACUUUAUAUCAUUCUCCUUUCAUUUUCUACUUCUGAGAGGUUCAUUUUCCAUGUUUCCCUGUCUGAUCCUGAAAAGGUUCCUGAGUGACUCUUCAUCAUGGUCAUGGAGCACGCUUCAGUUCCCAUCACAAGUGGCUAUGCAAUGAUGACCUCAGCUGACAUUCAUCUCACAUUCCCUCACCCUCCUCCUCUUCUUUCUUCAAUUUUAUAAUAUUCUUAUCAUUUUCUUGAUCCAAACCUCCCAUGCUUCCAAUUUCCUAGCUGCCUGAUACCAACUUGUCACACAGGAUUAGCAGGGAAUGAUCCCAGAGGUGGGAUGCAAUACCUAAAGGUACUAUAUAAGUUAGCAUAUAGAUUUGACUUCUGUAACAAAGGCCAAAAUAUUAACGGCUUAAACAAGAGAGUCGUUGAUUUUUGUCUUAUGUAACAAUCUGAGCAUUAGCAGCAUGGGACUGAAAAGAUGACACCAUCAUUUCUGGUAACGGAACUCCUAUCCUUUUGCUUUCUGAUUUUCAACACAUGGCUUACAUUUUGUAGUCUAGGAUUGCUUCUCCAGUUCCCAUGCCCACAUUCCCAUGUAGGGAGAAAAGUGAGGGGAGGGCACACUCCUUCCAUCUUGAAGGUGUUAAGUUUUACUUAUUACUUCUCAUAUCCCAUUAUCCAGAAUCUAAUCACUUGGGUACACUUAGCUACCAGGCAGAAUGGGACAUAAAUUCUUUACCUGCUGGCUUUCUUUGGCACAGAAACCUACUUAGCAUUUUGUCUCAGACAACUAUGGCAGUUGUGAAAUUGUGAAAUAGUUAUAAAACUGAACUAUCACAGUUAUGUUAUCUUCUUGGAAAGGGUGAGAAUUAGAAGAACAAGUAACAGUGUAAUGGCAAUGUUUUCCUUUUGUUUUUGAACUACUCUUCUUUGAUCAUUUCAGUUCAUUUAUUCCUUCAACAAACUAAGCUCUAGACCUAUAAAAGCUCCCCCAACAUAAACUCUACCUUUAUGUAUCUUCACACAGGCAUGUGAAGGAGUCAGACAAAAACACAGGUGUGCAUGCUGGGGAUUGUGAGUUCAGUAGGACUCUAGUAAAGAGUUUCUACAAAGAGUGAAAGGAAAGGAGCUAGGCAAGAAUGAGAUUAAGAUCAGGAUAAGGAGAUUCAAAUUUAUCCUAUACAAGGCAAUAGCAAGAUAUAAAAGAUAAAUUAGCAGGAAAUACAUGGAUAAAUUUCUUUUUUAAGGACAGAAUUCCUCUAUAGAAGAGAUACUUAAUCAAUGUGACUAAAUGAAAAGUUUUUAAAAAUUUUUUGGCACCCAUUGUGGAAGACAGUGUGGCGAUUCCUCAAGGAUCUAGAACUAGAAAUACCAUUUGACCGAGCCAUCCCAUUACUGGGGAUAUACCCAAAGGAUUAUAAAUCAUGCUGCUAUAAAGACACAUGCACACAUAUGUUUACUGCAGCACUAUUCACAAUAGCAAGGACUUGGAACCAACCCAAAUGUCCAUCAGUGACAGACUGGAUUAAGAAAAUGUGGCAGACAAGCACCAUGGAAUACUAUGCAGUCAUAAAAAGGGAUGAGUUCAUGUCCUUUUUAGGG